rnacentral:snRNA from 1 species
AGAGCCAUCUGGUUGCAACAUCUGUCACCCCACUGAUAGCCAGGGCUGAUUCAGCUGAUCUGGCUGGCUAGGCAAGUGUCCCCUUUCCUCCCU